AUUGAACGCUGGCGGCAGGCCUAACACAUGCAAGUCGAGCGGGGUUUUCGGACCUAGCGGCGGACGGGUGAGUAAUGCGUAGGAAGCUACCCGAUAGAGGGGGAUACCAGUUGGAAACGACUGUUAAUACCGCAUAAUGUCUACGGACCAAAGUGUGGGACCUUCGGGCCACAUGCUAUCGGAUGCGCCUACGUGGGAUUAGCUAGUUGGUGAGGUAAUGGCUCACCAAGGCGACGAUCCCUAGCUGGUUUGAGAGGACGAUGAGCCACACUGGAACUGAGACACGGGCCAGGCUCCGACGGGAGGCAGGAGUGGGGAAUAUUGAAGAUGGGGCGCAAGCCUGAUCCAGCCAUGCCGCGUGUGUGAAGGAGGCCUUCGGGUUGUAAAGCACUUUCAGUAGGGAGGAAGCGUUGAGUGUUAAUCGUACUCAGCGUUGACGUUACCUACAGAAGAAGCACCGGCUAACUCUGUGCCAGCCGCCGCAGUAACAC
rnacentral:rRNA from 1 species